rnacentral:ribozyme from 1 species
AAAGUGGAACUAUUGACGACAUUUUUUUUUUUUUUUUUUUUUUUUUUUUUUGUCUUU